rnacentral:rRNA from 1 species
GGGCCCGCACAAGCGGUGGAGCAUGUGGUUUAAUUCGACGCAACGCGAAGAACCUUACCUGGGUUUGACAUGUACGGGACAGCCUGAGAAACCAGGUUUCUCUUCGGAGUCCGUAUGCAGGUGCUGCAUGGCUGUCGUCAGCUCGUGUCGUGAGAUGUUGGGUUAAGUCCCGCAACCGAGCUGCAACCCCUAUUUUUAGUUGCCAACAGGUUAAGCUGGGAACUCUAAAGAGACUGCCGGUGAUAAACCGGAGGAAGGUGGGGAUGACGUCAAGUCCUCAUGGCCUUUAUACCCAGGGGCUACACACGUGCUACAAUGGCCGGUACAAAGAGUUGCAAGACCGCGAGGUGGAGCU